rnacentral:misc_RNA from 1 species
CGGAUCUCGAACGAAACGGCAUCGUUUCAGUCCACAUUUCGGUUUCAAUUUUUCUUGCUGAUUAGUAUAGCGCUCCCUUCAGAAACCGACAGCAAAGAAUUGAUAACUGAACGAAGAAAAAGAUAGAAUGCAAUAAAAAAAUCAGCAGAAUUUGGAAGACUGACACCUCCUUUCUACAGUCUCCUCCUCUCCCAUAUGCGUCAUCUCCUUCCUCUGGUUCUAGAUUUUUUUCUCUCUGGAUUUCGAAUCUUUUCAAGCCUUGCUUUUGACCCAGAUCCAGUAAUUGAUUCUGUUUGAUUUCCCAGAUAUAGGAUUUUGAUGGCAGCAGCAGAAGCAAGGGCUGCUUUUCAGAGGACAGUUAAUCGUUGCUUUGUCCAAGAAGAUGCCAAAAGAGCUCCCAGAUUAGCUUGCUG